rnacentral:rRNA from 1 species
GUGCCAGCAGCCGCGGUAAUACGUAGGUGGCAAGCGUUAUCCGGAAUUAUUGGGCGUAAAGCGCGCGUAGGCAGUUUUUUAAGUCUGAUGUGAAAGCCCACGGCUCAACCGUGGAGGGUCAUUGGAAACUGGAAAACUUGAGUGCAGAAGAGGAAAGUGGAAUUCCAUGUGUAGCGGUGAAAUGCGCAGAGAUAUGGAGGAACACCAGUGGCGAAGGCGACUUUCUGGUCUGUAACUGACGCUGAUGUGCGAAAGCGUGGGGAUCAAACAGGAUUAGAUACC